rnacentral:rRNA from 1 species
CCUACGGGUGGCAGCAGUGAGGAAUAUUGGUCAAUGGCCGGAAGGCUGAACCAGCCAUGCCGCGUGAAGGUCAGUGCCCUAUGGGCGUUAAACUUCUUUUGUGCGGGAGCAAUAAUGGUCACGUGUGGCCAGACGAGAGUACCGUACGAAUAAGCAUCGGCUAACUCCGUGCCAGCAGCCGCGGUAAUACGGGUGAUGCAAGCGUUAUCCGGAGUUAUUGGGUUUAAAGGGUGCGUAGGCUGUGAGGGAAGUCAGCGGGGGAAUGCCCCCGCUCAAAGGGGUGAAGUGCCAUUGAUACUGCCUUGCUAGAAGGCGGAUGCCGUGGGAGGAAUGUGUGGUGGAGCGGUGAAAUGCAUAGAUAUCACACAGAACACCGAUUGCGAAGGCAUCUCACGAAUCCGCGAUUGACGCUGAUGCACGAAAGCGUGGGUAUCAAACAGGAUUAGAUACCCCAGUAGUC